UGCAAGUCGAGCGGUAGAGAGAAGCUUGCUUCUCUUGAGAGCGGCGGACGGGUGAGUAAUGCCUAGGAAUCUGCCUGGUAGUGGGGGAUAACGUUCGGAAACGGACGCUAAUACCGCAUACGUCCUACGGGAGAAAGCAGGGGACCUUCGGGCCUUGCGCUAUCAGAUGAGCCUAGGUCGGAUUAGCUAGUUGGUGAGGUAAUGGCUCACCAAGGCGACGAUCCGUAACUGGUCUGAGAGGAUGAUCAGUCACACUGGAACUGAGACACGGUCCAGACUCCUACGGGAGGCAGCAGUGGGGAAUAUUGGACAAUGGGCGAAAGCCUGAUCCAGCCAUGCCGCGUGUGUGAAGAAGGUCUUCGGAUUGUAAAGCACUUUAAGUUGGGAGGAAGGGUACUUACCUAAUACGUGAGUAUUUUGACGUUACCGACAGAAUAAGCACCGGCUAACUCUGUGCCAGCAGCCGNGG
rnacentral:rRNA from 1 species